UCAGAGGAGCUGUGUCCCCCAGCUUCGUGAUCAAUACCAAUUUAGUGUUAAUAGAUGUCAAUUGAUCAGCUCUCCCCAGGGUGCACAGCCAGACCACACGCAUAGUUUGACAUCUAGCCUGUAAAGAAGAUGGUAAUCCAGGGAAUUGGAGGCCAGACUGUUAAGCACGGAUUUUUUCUGAAGCAUGUGAGAAUGCCAGAAGAAACAUAUAGGAAGGAAAGCAGAAGGACUGAUGAUGAGAUGAAGGAAUGGGGACUCAGAGGCUGCAGAUGUCAUGUGAUCCAAUCCAAACGCCGGCUUCUGGUCUCCUAUCAGCCAUGAAGCUUGUUGAGUGCUGACUGCAUUAUAGCUUUUGAAUACCUUGAAAUCACAUCACUGUGUUAAAUUCAGCCAGCCUUAACAGCCCUCACAAACGAAGUGUAAAAGUUCAGUCACUGUACUCCACAGUUCUGCUUUGUUUUAUCUGUGAUAUCGCACCACUUUUAUCAUUGGCUAAAUGGAAGUGGAAGACAAUGGAAGCGUCUGGUCAUAACCAGUGAUGGAGAAGCUACUUUGAAAUUGUAGCUUGUUAAAGCUAAUCAUAAUUUGAAUUGUGAAG